rnacentral:lncRNA from 1 species
GCUGCAUAUUCUCUUUUAGCUAAGAGCUUACCGUGUAAUUCAUCCUACCCAAAAAGUGUUAUAAUAAAUGCAAAAAGAACUCUGGAUUCCAUAGUGAGACAGGCUGGUGUUUCUGUUCCAAUAGCCAUGGAGCUCUCUCAGCGUCACUGUCCUCAGAACCCAACCGGGUGUCCGCCCUUAGGUGUCACAGUCGGCGAACCGUCCUCUGUGGCUGAUCCGGAGAGCACAGAGAGGAUAAAUAUGAAAUCCAAAAAGGGUAUUUGAAGUUCAAACUUCUAGGUGUAGAAAACAGGCUGAUGAAAUUGCUCACUACAGCCACGGGAUAUGCUUCUGUCGUGAGAGAAGAUCAUGAGCCUUUCUAUAGAGCAACAGUGGUUUGAAUGGAGAGACAUCUUUCGAUUUUAAAGAUAUACAAGUAACAGCCACGGGAGCUGGGAGGAUACUGAAAGGGCUAAGCUGUGCGGAUUUCUCCCAGAAGGCCUCGAGGGGAACACCCAGUAAUUAAACAGAGCAAUCCGGGAACUUGGAGUCUUCCAUGUGGCUCCUGGUGGCUCCACCCUCUUCCAAAGCCAACGCCCACCAAGCCUGACUCUGUAUCAAUUUCAGUAGCAUUCUUUCUUCACCGAAGAAAAGCAAAGAGACACAGAACGCUGAGUAAAUUUGUGGGCGAUCUGUUUGCUGUUCUAAAGAGAAAGUAAAUAUUUGUGGCAUUUAUGAAGCCGGCUACAGAAUCCUGUAACUGAAGAAUGAAGCUCUCCGUGGCAUUUUUUUUCUGCAUAAACAGCUGGCUCUGGGAUGGAAGUUUGGCUGAAACGUUUUUACCUUCUUAGAUACCGUGUUUACUUUGAGCGAAGCGAGGAGUCUGCGCAGCCUGGAGAUGACAUCUGUUUCCGCAGCUUGGAAGGCUUCUACUCCAGCUGCUGCCCGGAAAAGGAGGCGGGCACUUCUUCAGGGCAGUGGAAAAACACAGCUUUGAAAAUUCCGUGACAUAAAGGCUCCCUACAUAAGAGUAGUGAAUAGAAGAAUGAACCAAGUGAUUUACUCACAGUUGUUAUCUAUAACAUUAUUAGCACUAUCACUUUUCAUUUUCUCAGUCUGCAUAAAUAAAAUCCGAGUCUAAGUGUAAUAGCGGCGCGUGCAUUUUGCAUGUGUCCGCUAACUGGCUUGCAAUCACUUCAUAAACGGUUGCCUGCCGUCUUCUCUUCCUCCACUCUUCUUUUGGGGCUGCAUUUUUAGCACUUCAAUUUUCUGUACUUGUUCU